rnacentral:rRNA from 1 species
CAGCAGCCGCGGUAAUACGUAGGUGGCAAGCGUUGUCCGGAAUUAUUGGGCGUAAAGGGCUCGCAGGCGGUUUCUUAAGUCUGAUGUGAAAGCCCCCGGCUCAACCGGGGAGGGUCAUUGGAAACUGGGGAACUUGAGUGCAGAAGAGGAGAGUGGAAUUCCACGUGUAGCGGUGAAAUGCGUAGAGAUGUGGAGGAACACCAGUGGCGAAGGCGACUCUCUGGUCUGUAACUGACGCUGAGGAGCGAAAGCGUGGGGAGCGAACAGGAUUAGAUACCCUGGUAGUCCACGCCGUAAACGAUGAGUGCUAAGUGUUAGGGGGUUUCCGCCCCUUAGUGCUGCAGCUAACGCAUUAAGCACUCCGCCUGGGGAGUACGGUCGCAAGACUGAAACUCAAAGGAAUUGACGGGGGCCCGCACAAGCGGUGGAGCAUGUGGUUUAAUUCGAAGCAACGCGAAGAACCUUACCAGGUCUUGACAUCCUCUGACAAUCCUAGAGAUAGGACGUCCCCUUCGGGGGCAGAGUGACAGGUGGUGCAUGGUUGUCGUCAGCUCGUGUCGUGAGAUGUUGGGUUAAGUCCCGCAACGAGCGCAACCCUUGAUCUUAGUUGCCAGCAUUCAGUUGGGCACUCUAAGGUGACUGCCGGUGACAAACCGGAGGAAGGUGGGGAUGACGUCAAAUCAUCAUGCCCCUUAUGACCUGGGCUACACACGUGCUACAAUGGCGUAUACAAAGAGAAGCGAACUCGCGAGAGCCAGCGGACCUCAUAAAGUACGUCGUAGUCCGGAUCGGAGUCUGCAACUCGACUCCGUGAAGUCGGAAUCGCUAGUAAUCGUAGAUCAGAAUGCUACGGUGAAUACGUUCCCGGGCCUUGUACACACCGCCCGU